CAUUUCAAAAAUUAUUUUCACACAUGAUUAUCAUACAGUAUUACAAUGUAUUAUGUGCAAAAUUCCAUUAAAAAAAUCAUUUACAAAAGGAAGUACAACACAGUAUAUGCUGAGGGAGGGCUCUAGUUCAA